AUGGAUUUGCCGCAGCCCUUGAAAGAUAAAGACUCCACGCAAUUUGAACUUGGCCGGACCAAUGAUGGGAAGCUUUGCAUGGUUUGCGUAGAUGGCUUUGGUGCAGACAAAACAAUGAUCGCGGUUUGGAUUUGGAGAGCCGAUGGUGAUGGUGUUGAAAAGUGGAUGCAGCACAAGGUUUUCCCACUGAAUACGUUUAUUGACCUCACGACGUGCUCAGCAGAGUACGAUGUCAUCACGGUGCAGGUUGCGGUGGUAAUCGAUGGAUUUGUGUUCCUGUGUAUUGAUUUUGGUAGGCUUACCAAGUUCUUCCUGUCUUUCUGCCUGGAAACAGAGAAUGUAAACGAAUUCUUCAAUCAUACAUUUCACAAUGAUAUCCAUCCCUACAUCAUGGCGUGGCCUUCUACUUUGCUAAGCAACAAGGAGAAUUCAGUAACCAACAUUACUGGAGGCGAUGCGACAGAUGAUGGUCCUGUGGGUACAGAAGAAACUCUCUCUGUUCUCGGUGGCGGAGAAAGCAUCCAAACAAUUCGUGUACGGAGUCCCCUAAAGAUCACAGUUUUACUCAAGCAUAGAAAUUUAUUUAACGUAUACUGUUCUUGA
rnacentral:rRNA from 1 species